UUGCUUCCGCAGCACAGGCGCUAAAAUCGGGAGGAUACAGAGAAAAUUCGCAUGGCCCCCGCGCAAAGAUGACGUGCAAAUUCACGAAGCAGUCCAUAUUGAA